GACAGAUUGGUGAUUAUUCUCUCGAUCCUAAUCGUUGUUUAUACAGUUUUGAUUCCACUGAGGUAAUUUACGCGACAGCCAUCGGGAGGAUCUUCCGGCUGCCUAAACAGAAUAAAACCAGUUCGAAAAUCAACACAAGCUUAACUUUUGGCUGCAGUUUGUAAUCAGCUUGUGUAAACAUGAGGACAAGCCGGCUAGAGUGGUUCCCUUGAAGGAGUUUCCGGCCAACGACAAAUGACAAUACCUUAGGAGAUAAGCUGUAAACAUAACUCAAAAUGGAUAGAAACAUUGACUGAUCUACCCAGCUGGGAUUAUCGGAUGAUUUUGAGAAAUUAGUGGCGAAAAUGAUAUUGCACAACUUGAGGAUGACGACGAGCUUGUACGACCUCGAUGCGGUUGAAACUGGUCAUGCUUUACCGUACCAACAAAAUGCAGGCUGGUAGCAGGUCUCUGAAAAGACUUGGUCUUUAUUAAGGCCUCUAAGAAGUACUCUAAAGUCAUCAAAAUGCUAAUUUCUUUUUUCCUCGAGAAAUAAUCCUCGUGUAUAAUUCUCCAUAGAUGCCUUCAGAUAUUCUUACGUCACUAUUCCACAGGUUCUUCAAGUAUUUCUUUACGGAUUUCUCAAUUUAAUACUUCAAUAACUCUAGUGAUUUCUUCAGAGGUUUCUUAUAGAAAACCAUCAGGAACUCCUCCUUACUACAGAAAUUUUCUAAUUAUAAUCUAGGUUUUCUUUCAACUAUUGUUCGAUAGAUUUCCUCACUGUGUACAUGAGCUCCAGAAAGGUUUAUUCUAGAUUAUUAAUUUACAUCACCAAACUAUGUUCAGCUACUGAGAUUUCAUUGGAAUCCGUAAAAUAUUGAGUUAACAAAUAAAACCAAAAUUAUUCUAGUAA